UGAAAAUGCUUGUUCUUGGGUAGAACAUUGGCUUAAAAACAGAGUACAAAGAGUUGUCAUUAAUGCUAAAUUUUCAAGCUGGACAGAGGUGGCAAGUGGUGUCCCUCAGGGGUCUGUUCUGGGACCCCUUCUAUUUAACAUGUUUAUAAAUUAUCUUGAAGACCGCAUUGAAAGUCAUGUUUCAGUGUUUGCAGAUGACACCAAACUUUGUAAAACAAUACAAUGUGAGCAAGAUAUUACUUUGC
rnacentral:lncRNA from 1 species